GAAACUGGAGCUAAUACCGAAUAAGACCACGAGGUCCCCGGACCUUGCGGAAAAAGGUGGCCUCUUCUUGAAAGCUAUCGCCUGUUGAUGAGCCCGCGUCCCAUUAGCUUGUUGGUGAGGUAAAAGCUCACCAAGGCAUCGAUGGGUAGCUGGUCUGAGAGGGUGAUCAGCCACACUGGAACUGAGACACGGUCCAGACUCCUANGGGAGGCAGCAGUCGGGAAUCUUGCACAAUGGGCGAAAGCCUGAUGCAGCAACGCCGCGUGAGGGAUGAAGGCCCUCGGGUCGUAAACCUCUGUCGGAAGGGAAGAAAGUAUUUCGGGCCAAUACCCCGAAGUAUCGACGGUACCUUCAAAGGAAGCGCCGGCUAACUCCGUGCCAGCAGCCGCGGUAAUACGGAGGGCGCGAGCGUUAUUCGGAAUUAUUGGGCGUAAAGCGCGUGUAGGCGGCUGGGCAAAGUCGGAUGUGAAAGCCCGGGGGCUCANCCCCGGAAUUGCAUACGAAACUGCUCAGCUAGAGUCUCG
rnacentral:rRNA from 1 species